rnacentral:rRNA from 1 species
GGAACGCGACGCUCAUAUACAGCUAUAAUUUACUNGAUCUUGACUAUCCUACUUGGAUAACUGUGGUAAUUCUAGAGCUAAUACAUGCACCAAAGCUCUGACCUUACGGGAAGAGUGCAUUUAUUAGAACAAAACCAAGCGACUUCGGUCGUUUUUUGUUGACUCAGAAUAACUAAGCUGAUCGCAUGGUCUUGCACCGGCGACGUGUCUUUCAAGUAUCUGCCUUAUCAACUUUCGAUGGUAGUGUAUCUGACUACCAUGGUGGUGACGGGUAACGGAGGAUAAGGGUUUGACUCCGGAGAAGGGGCCUGAGAAAUGGCCACUACGUCUAAGGAUGGCAGCAGGCGCGCAAAUUACCCACUCUCAGAACGAGGAGGUAGUGACGAAAAAUAACGAGACCGUUCUCUAUGAGGCCGGUCAUCGGAAUGGGUACAAUCUAAACCCUUUAACGAGUAUCUAUGAGAGGGCAAGUCUGGUGCCAGCAGCCGCGGUAAUUCCAGCUCUCAAAAUGCAUAGAAUUAUUGCUGCGGUUAAAAAGCUCGUAGUUGGAUCUGUGCUGAGGACUUGGUCCACCUUCGGGUGUGCACUGAGCUCCACGGCUUUUUCUGCCGGUUUUCCCGUCAUGGCUUUCAUCGGCUGUGGCGGGUGGCUGGUGAUUUUACUUUGAACAAAUCAGAGUGCUCCAAACAGGCGUUUUGCUUGAAUGUUUUUGCAUGGAAUAAUAGAAGAGGAUUUCGGUUCUAUUUUAUUGGUUUUAUAGACUGAAAUAAUGGUUAACAGAGACCAACGGGGGCAUUCGUACCCGCUGCGUGAGAGGUGAAAUUCUUGGACCGCAGCGAGACGAACUACAGCGAAAGCAUUUGCCAAGAAGGUCUUCAUUAAUCAAGAACAAA